CCCUGAGGAAGGAUCUCUUCUUGGAGGUCUCUCCUUGGUGAGUGACUUUCCCUGUGAGCCCAGAAUUUUCUGAUCCAGGGACCCAGGGAGAGCACCUGCCUCACACAGCUGCUGUGCCACCUGGACAGAAGCAAUACGUUGCACAAAGGGAUGCUCUUAGACUGGAGCCUGCAGCACGUGAGGGAGCUCUUUACCAUGUGUCCUCAUCCCACCCACAACAGAGGUGUCCUCAGAAGAGGAGAUCCUACCAGCAAGCGCAGGGUGCAGCAAGGAGAAUGGAACAGUUUGCUACUGUUCUGCAGUGCCAGGCAGGGAGAGGUGAUGCUGUCAAGGCCAGGGCCAGCCAUUCCUGGGAACAGUGGUUCCUGUUCCAGCCAUGUCCCCAGGGCCUGCUCACAGCGAUGUUCCCAUCGCGCUGACACCAACGUCGUCAUAGCCCAUGUCAUCAGGGGGCUGUGCCACGGCAUCCCCAGUGUG